rnacentral:rRNA from 1 species
UGGGGAAUAUUGCACAAUGGGCGAAAGCCUGAUGCAGCGACGCCGCGUGAGGGAUGACGGCCUUCGGGUUGUAAACCUCUUUCAGUAGGGACGAAGCGCAAGUGACGGUACCUGCAGAAGAAGCACCGGCUAACUACGUGCCAGCAGCCGCGGUAAUACGUAGGGUGCGAGCGUUGUCCGGAAUUACUGGGCGUAAAGAGCUCGUAGGCGGGUUGUCACGUCGUCUGUGAAAUACUAGGGCUUAACCCUGGACGUGCAGGCGAUACGGGCUGACUUGAGUACGACAGGGGAGACUGGAAUUUCUGGUGUAGCGGUGGAAUGCACAGAUAUCAGUAAGAACACCGAUGGCGAAGGCAGGUCUCUGGGUAGUAACUGACGCUGAGGAGCGAAAGCAUGGGUAGCGAGCAGG